rnacentral:rRNA from 1 species
CACAGAGUUAGCCGAUGCUUAUUCCCCGGAUACCGUCAUUGCUUCUUCUCCGGGAAAAGAAGUUCAUGACCCGUAGGCCUCCUACCUUCACGCGGCAUUGCUCCGUCAGGCUUUCGCCCAUUGCGGAAAAUUCCCCACUGCUGCCUCCCGUAGGAGUCUGGGCCGUGCCUCAGUCCCAGUGUGGCUGAUCAUCCUCUCGGACCAGCUACUGAUCAUCGCCUUGGUAAGCUAUUCGCCUCACCAACUAGCUAAUCAGACGCGACGCCCCUCGUCGGGCGGAUUCCUCCUUUGCUCUCAGCCGUACGGGUAUUAGCAGUCCGUUUCCAGCUUGUUCGUUCCCCUACCGAAGGGUUAGUUCUUACGCGUUACUCCACCCGUCCGCCACGUAGGAAACACCCUACUUCCCGUCCGACUUGCAUUGUGUAAGGCUAGUCGCCGCC